rnacentral:rRNA from 1 species
AUAUGUAGGGAGCGAGCGUUGUCUGGAAUUACUGGGCGUAAAGGGCGCGUAGGCGGCGCUUCAAGUCGUCUGUCAAAUGGUAGGGCUUAACCCUUUUUCGCAGACGAAACUGGAGAGCUUGAGAAGCAGAGAGGCAAACAGAAUUCCUGGUGGAGCGGUGAAAUGCGUAGAUAUCAGGAAGAAUACCAGUGGCGAAGGCGGUUUGCUGGCUGCAUACUGACGCUGAAGCGCGAAAGCCAGGGGAGCGAACGGGAUUAGAUACCCCGGUAGUCCUGGCAGUAAACGAUGUAUGCUGGGUGUGAGACUAGCGAUAGUUUCGUGCCGAAGUUAACGCGAUAAGCAUACCGCCUGGGGAGUACGGUCGCAAGAUUGAAACUCAAAGGAAUUGACGGGG